rnacentral:lncRNA from 1 species
UUACAAGAUUGAAUAUCGAUCUUUUACACUGGUUCUUGCUUGUUAAUUUGGCAGUUUCAUUAUUCGCCCUUGUCCCCAUUGAGAGCAGUAGCCAGAGUCCCUGCAGGACAUAUGCAGUUCUUUGCUUGUGCUCCAUUUUGCUCGAUGUUGCUUGGUUCAUUCUCUUCUCUCAUGAAAUCUGAUGCGACCUUUUCUUAUUCAUCAUACUUAUAGAUUUCUAGUUUAAUUUCUUGUUCUUCAUUUCCAUAUCAUGUAUACAAUCUUGGCAUGUUGUAAUUCAAGAAAACAGUAAGAAACCUCUUUAAUUCCCAAAUUUAUAUGUACAUCUUCAAUUUCAAUUCACAAGUUGAACAAUUUCAUUAGUAAAUACUUAAAUCUUUCUAAAAAUUCUCAAGACACUAAACACCUGAGUAACUAGAUAAGUGGAUGGCAUUGGUAAUCAC